CCUACGGGGGGCUGCAGUGGGGAAUAUUGGACAAUGGGGGGAACCCUGAUCCAGCCAUGCCGCGUGUGUGAAGAAGGCCCUCGGGUUGUAAAGCACUUUCAGUGAGGAAGAACGCCUGGUGGUUAAUACCCAUCAGGAAAGACAUCACUCACAGAAGAAGCACCGGCUAACUCCGUGCCAGCAGCCGCGGUAAUACGGAGGGUGCGAGCGUUAAUCGGAAUUACUGGGCGUAAAGCGCGCGUAGGUGGCUUGAUAAGCCGGUUGUGAAAGCCCCGGGCUCAACCUGGGAACGGCAUCCGGAACUGUCAAGCUAGAGAGCAGGAGAGGAAGGUAGAAUUCCCGGUGUAGCGGUGAAAUGGGUAGAGAUCGGGAGGAAUACCAGUGGCGAAGGCGGCCUUCUGGACUGACACUGACACUGAGGUGCGAAAGCGUGGGUAGCAAACAGGAUAAGAUACCCUAGUAGUC
rnacentral:rRNA from 1 species